UGAAAGACCCCAGCUUAGCAGCAGUAACGCCAUUUUGCAAGGCUAUAUUUAAGAUGACUGGUUCAGAGAAAGGUUAGAACACUGAGUACACAGCGGCUGCCAAACAAGAUGUGUUUGGUUGAAGGCCUGGCAACAGGAGGACUGCCGUUGAGCACCUGACAAUGAGAAAAGCCCCGAGAGAGGUCCCACACCCUGGUGGGGGGCCGAGUCAGCCGUUAUGUUCCAAGAAGGUAGCUAAGAAACUUGCCCCCGGGCUGAACCCUUGGGGGGCCGAGUCAGCUGUUAUGUUUCAGGAAGGUAGCUAGGAAACUUGCCCCCGGGCUAAACCCUUGCCAUAUUAGAAUCCACCAAUUAUAUCCCUGUAACCAUGCAUCUGCUUCUGUAUGCUUGCUUCUGCUCCCCAAAAUCCUAUAAAAGCCCAUCCUUGGUUCCGUGGGGCGCGCCAGUCCCCCGAGUGACUGAAGCGCCCGCAGGUGCCUGUGCCUGUGUAUCCCGACAAUAAACCAAAUCCUCUUGCUGAUUACAUCCUGUGGUGUCUCGGUCUGGUCUUUGGAGUUAGAGGGUCUCCAUCCCGAGGGAAAGUUCUCCCUGAGAGCUUUUCAUUUGGUGCGUUGGCCGGGAAAGGAGAUCCUCCACCCAGGGACCACCGACCACCCACUGGGAGGUAAGCCGGCCGGCGUCUGUCUGUCUGUCUGAUUUUGUCUCGUUCUGCCUUAUUCUGUCUGUUCUGUGAGCGCUCAGCCAGGUCUGUUCUGUGAGCGCUCAGCCAGGUCUGUUCUGUGAGCGCUCAGCCAGGUUGUUUGGAAUUUGGGCGGGACGAAGAAGGAGCUGACGAGCUCGGACUUCUUGCCCCGCAGCCCUGGAAGACGUUCCAAGGGUGUUAGGGGCCCGACUUUUCGGGGCCCAAUCUGGGAGAGGAGAAAGAUCCGGACUAACGGCACCUCUGUCUGUAUUUUUGGCUUUCAGAGGGCCCCGGACCUUUGCCACCUCCAUCUGACUUUUUGCUUUCAGUUUGGUACCAAAGCCGUGCAGCACGCCUGUCUGUUGUUUGUUUGACUGUUGGUGUUGUUUGUUUUCUCUGUGUUCUAAUCUUCCUUAGAACUAACAUGGGACAGUCCCUAACAACGCCCCUAAGUCUCACUCUUGAUCAUUAGAAAGACAUCCACGACCGGACACACAACCAGUCCGUCGAGGUUAAAAAAAAGGAAAAUGGCAGACUCUCUGCACAUCCGAGUGGCCCACUUUCGGAGCGGGAUGGCCAGUGAAUGGCACAUUUAAUAAGAUCAUUAUUUUACAGGUUAAAGAUCGGGUCGUCCACGGACAUCCUGACCAGGUUUCUUAUAUUAUCACUUGAGAGAGUCUCGCCUUAAAACCCUCCCCCUGGGCGGAACCCUUCGUGGACCCGAAUUGGCCUCCCCUCAACCCCCAGCCUGUCCCCUCGGCCCCGCCCGGUCCGCCGGCCACGUCUUCCUCUCUCUACCUUUGUGAAAUCAGAGCCUUCUAAGAAACCUGUCCUCCCGGCAGACCCAAACUCCCCUCUCAUAGAUCUUCUCUCUGACAGGCCCGGCUAAAACGGAGGAGGCAGAGCCGCCGGCCAGAUCAGUUGCCGGGCCACAGUCUGAUAAGGGUUUCUCCCCUGUCGCAGGGAGAUUGCACAAUAAGCGCGAGGUGAUGCCAGAUUCAACCUCCCAGGCUUUCCCACUUAGACAGGGAACCGGUGGCCAGACCCAAUACUGGCCGUUUUCAGCAGCUGACAUUUACAAUUGGAAACAACACAACCCUUCUUUCUCCAAAGAUCCGGUGGCACUCACCGACCUAAUAGAAUCUGUUUUACUUACCCACCAGCCUACUUGGGAUGACUGCCAACAGCUCUUACAGGCCCUCUUAACCUCAGAAAAAAAAAAAACAAAGAGUGUUCCUAGAGGCCAGAAAGCAUGUUCUGGGAGAUGAUGGGCGUCCCACCCAGCUGCCUGAGGAAAUUGAUGCUACAUUCCCACUUAAGAGACCAAACUGGGAUUUUAAUACAGCUGAAGGUAAGGGACACCUACGCCUUUAUCGCCAGUUGCUUCUAGCGGGUCUCCGAGGGGCUAUACGACGCCCUACUAAUUUGGCUCAGGUAAAACAGGUAUUACAGGAAGCAGGGGAAACUCCCUCCGCCUUUCUAGAGAGACUUAAGGAGGCCUACCGUAUGUACACUCCCUAUGACCCAGAUGACCCAGGACAAAUGACGAGUGUCUCUAUGUCCUUCAUCUGGCAGGCUGCUCCAGAUAUCAGGACUAAGUUACAGAGGUUAGAAAAUUUGCAGGGCUAUACAUUACAGGAUUUACUUAAAAAAGCUGAAAAGAUUUUUAAUAAGAGAGAAAAUUGAGUUGAAUCUUGGCCGCCGUAGUUCAGGGCCAAGAAAGGAAGGGAGAUAGGGGGGAGCUCGAAAGGGGCUAAAGCUGGAUAAAGAUCAAUGUGCCUAUUACAAAGAGAAAGGGCACUGGGCCAGAGAGUGCCCCAAGAAGCCUGGCGGACCCCGAAAGCCUCGACCACGAACCUCCCUCUUGGCUCUAGAUAAAGAUUAGGGAGGUCAGGGCCAGGAGCCCCCCCUGAGCCCAGGGUAACGCUUAAAGUUGGGGGGCAGCCGGUUGCUUUCCUGAUAGACACAGGAGCCCAACAUUCAGUCCUCACUCAAGCUUCAGGACAACUCAGCGACCGGACGGCCUGGGUAGAAGGAGCUACUGGUGAGAAACAAUACCGAUGGACUACGGACCGCCGGGUUCAGCUGGCUACUGGUAAGGUGACCCAUUCCUUCUUACAUGUUCCGGACUGCCCGUACCCUCUGCUGGGCCGUGACCUGCUCACCAAACUAAAAGCACAAAUUCAUUUUGAGAAAGGAGGGGCCCAAAUAACUGGCCCCCACGGAACUCCCCUUCAAGUUCUAACCCUAUGAACUGGGACAGGACACUGGCUUGGACAGAGACUGGUGGGAUGGGGUUGGCGCUCCAACAGCCCCCCUUAAUUACAACUCCAGUCUCCAUAAAACAAUACCCCCUGUCCCAUGAAGCUUAUCAAGGUAUAAGGCCUCACAUUACGAGGCUUCUGGAUCAAGGCAUCCUAGUCCCCUGCCGGUCGCCUUGGAAUACGCCUCUUCUGCCUGUUAAGAAACCUGGCACUGGAGCUUAUAGGCCAAUACAAGACUUGAGAAAGGUCAACAAGAGGAUAGAAGAUAUUCAUCCGACUGUUCCAAACCCUUACAAUUUGCUCAGUAACUGUUCAUCGAUGAGAAACAGGGGUAUGCUAAAGGGGUCCUAACACAAAGGUUGGGACUCUGAAAACGCCCUGUGGCCUACCUGUCUAAGAAAUUGGACCCUGUGGCCUCCGGCUGGCCACCGUGCCUAAGGAUGGUGGCUGCUAUUGCUGUCCUGAUCAAGGAUGCUGGAAAAUUGACUUUGGGACAGCCACUCACCAUCCUAGCACCCCACGCAGUGGAGGCCUUGAUAAAGCAGCCCCCAGACCGCUGGCUCUCUAAUUCUCGCACCAAGCCUUGUUACUGGAUGCAGAACGGGUUCAGUUUGGGCCCGUAGUCGCCCUCAAUCCUGCCACCUUGCUUCCUCUACCAGAGGAGGCAGAACAACAUGACUGACUACAAAUCCUCGCAGAAGUACAUGGAACCAGGCUGGACCUAUCGGACCAGCCUCUUCAGAAUGCUGACCACACAUGGUACACGGAUGACAACAGCUUCUUGGCAGAGGGAGAGCGAAAGGCUGGAGCUGCGGUCACUACGGAGGACAAAGUGAUUUGGGCGAAAGCCCUGCCUGCUGGUACCUCCGCACAACGGGCUGAACUCAUCGCCUUGACUCAGGCGCUCAAGAUGACAAAAGGUAAGAGGCUAAAUAUAUAUACAGACAGCCGUUAUGCCUUUGCCACGGUACACAUCCACGGGGAGAUCUACCGGAGGCGGGGGCUGCUCACAUCUAAAGAUAAAGAUAUUAAAAAUAAGGCUAAAAUUCUGGCCCUCUUAGAAGCCCUAUUCUUGCCCAAAAGACUGAGUAUUAUACAUUGUCCAGGACACCAGAAAGGGCACAACCCAGAGACACGAAGAAACCGGCUGGCCAAUGCCACGGCUCGAGAAGCGGCCAUGAACAAAUAAAUCUUGCCCUUAAAUAGCCCAGACCAACCCACGCCCCCACCAAUGGGACAAACCAGUUGGGUUUAUGCCCAUGAGGACAUAGAGCUCCUAAAAAAAAUGGGGGCCAUCUACCACCCUCAACUAAAACAGUGGGUCUACAAAGGAAAGACAGUUAUGCCAAUAAAAAUGACUUUUAAAUUGAUCUCCUUUUUACAUAAAUUAACCCAUUUGGGGUUUAAAAAGAUGACUAGAUCGAGAAGAGAUAAAUCUGUGUUUUUUAAAUCGGGACAAAGCGAUACAAAAGGUGACUGAGAGUUACAAAGCGUGCGCUCAGGUUAACCCAAGAAAGACCAUGAUUAGACAAGGAGUUCAUCCUAGGAGACACCGUCCCGACAUCCAUUGAGAAAUUGGUUUUACUAAAAUUAAACCAGGUAUAUAUGGAUACAAGUAUCUCCUAGUGUUUGUAGACACCUUCUCAGGAUGGGUCGAAGCCUUCCCCACAAAGCACGAGACUACAAAAAUGGUCACCAAGAAGCUCCUCGAGGAAAUCUUUCCCAGGUAUGGCAUGCCUCAAGCGUUGGGGUCGGACAACGGGCCCGCUUUCGUCUCCCAAGUAAGUCAGUUGGUGGCCAAAUUGCUGGGGAUUGAUUGGAAAUUACAUUGUGCCUAUAGACCCCAGAGUUCAGGUCAGGUAGAACACAUAAAUAGAACAAUUAAGGAGACUUUAUCCAAACUUACGCUUACAACUGGCUCAAAGGAUUGAGUGGCCCUCCUUCCCCUAGUUCUAUAUCGGGCCCGGAAUACCCCGGGCCCCCAUGGUCUAACUCCUUUUAAAAUAAUAUAUAGAACACCACCCCCAUUUGUCCAUUUCUUUGAUUCAAACAUUGCUGAUUUUGCUGACAGCCCUUCUCUGAGGGCCCAUUUACAGGCCCUACAGAUUGUGCAGAGAGACGUCUAGAGACCUUUGGCCGCUGCUUACCAGGACAAGCUUGAACAUCCGGUGGUGCCACACCCGUUCCAGAUUGGAGACACCGUGUGGGUACACAGACACCAGACCAAGAAUCUCGAGCCACGGUGGAAAGGACCCUACACCGUCCUCCUGACUACCCCGACCACCCUAAAGGUAGACGGAGUCUCGGCUUAGAUCCACGCACCACACGUCAAGGCAGUCCAGUCUGAGGAAUUGACUAAUCACAACACUACACCCCAGACAUGGAGAGUUCAGCACACUCCAAACCCCUUAAAGUUAAAACUCCUACGUGGCUUCUCCUAGCCCUUUUGUGGCCUAGAGUCAGUGGGGAAAUAAGCCCCCACCAGACAAAAAUUUCUUGACCAAGUCGAGUGAAAGAUUUCACUCAAAGUUAACAAAAAAAAAAAUGAGAAAAUAAAAGACCCCAGCUUAACAGCAGUAACGCCAUUUUACAAGGCUAUAUUUAAGAUGACUGGUUCAGAGAAAGGUUAGAACACUGAGUACACAGCGGCUGCCAAACAAGAUGUGUUUGGUUGAAGGCCUGGCAACAGGAGGACUGCCGUUGAGCACCUGACAAUGAGAAAAGCCCCGAGAGAGGUCCCACACCCUGGUGGGGGGCCGAGUCAGCCGUUAUGUUCCAAGAAGGUAGCUAAGAAACUUGCCCCCGGGCUGAACCCUUGGGGGGCCGAGUCAGCCGUUAUGUUUCAGGAAGGUAGCUAGGAAACUUGCCCCCGGGCUAAACCCUUGCCAUAUUAGAAUCCACCAAUUAUAUCCCUGUAACCAUGCAUCUGCUUCUGUAUGCUUGCUUCUGCUCCCCAAAAUCCUAUAAAAGCCCAUCCUUGGUUCCGUGGGGCGCGCCAGUCCCCCGAGUGACUGAAGCGCCCGCAGGUGCCUGUGCCUGUGUAUCCCGACAAUAAACCAAAUCCUCUUGCUGAUUA